AACAAGGCGUACCUGCGGACCUGCGGAGGGAUCAUUACUGAGUCACGUGCUCAAACAACCCUUCUGUGGACCCGAAAUAAAACCGUUGCCUCGGCGGGCGGUCCCCCCCAAACCAACCCCACGUGGUGGGUUAGGGGAGACCAGACAGUCCGGUACGCUUAAGGCGUCCGGCGCCAGCCGCUGGCCCCAAACAAUUAAACUCUAGUAAUCUUUACCUUCUGAGUUUCAAUAUUUAAAAAU
rnacentral:misc_RNA from 1 species